rnacentral:lncRNA from 1 species
ACAAAACCCUGGCCUUGUGUUUACUGGGCCCCCCCCCCAGUUACCUGGCAAUAGCCAGGCACCUCCUGCCAUCCUGUGAACUGAACAGUGGGGAGACUCACCCUGUGAGGGCUUAAGGGAGGCCUGGGGCCAAACACAUUGUGGAAUCAGCCCCUCCAAGAGCUCCAAGGAUCUGAGUCUACUAACAUCACAUGGCUGAUGGAGAAAUAGAUCCUCUCACAGAGUUGGCUGACUUGGUUAGAGACGCUGAGGGCCCAAGUUUACACACAUGGAGAAAUGAGGGCAGAAAGCACCUGGAUGGGCAGGGAGAGCAAGAAGAUGAGCGCAGAGUGAAAUAGGAACAUCAGAGUCAACACACUUUAAAAGAAGGGCAAACUAUUCACCAAAAGGAAGGGGCAGCUUAUGGUAUGCUCGCAGAGAGAAGGUGAUGCCAGCGAACACAGCUAAGCAGGGCCUGGUCAACCCAGGAUAAGCCUUGAUUGAGGUUGUAGACUUACCAAGACAGAAAACCUACAGGAGGCGUGAGAAGUCAGUUCCAGGUGUCAUCCUGAUCUUCAGGAGGCCGAGGCCGGAGGGACUCAAGUUCAAGGCCUGCUUGGACUCCAUCGAAUCGUGCCAACCCAGACAAGUUUGUAGGCUCCUGUCUCAAAAAUCAGAAAGUCAGUAAGAAAUCUGGAGAUGCAACUCAGCGGGAAGAUGCUGGCCUUGCACGGAUGAAACCCUAAAUGCACUCCCCAGUACAACGCAUGAACAAACAAACAUCAAAAGCCUUUGACCACACACAGUACCAAUAAAGAGAAGAGAACUAACUGUAUC